rnacentral:rRNA from 1 species
AUUGAACGCUGGCGGCAUGCCUUACACAUGCAAGUCGAACGGCAGCACGGGAGCAAUCCUGGUGGCGAGUGGCGAACGGGUGAGUAAUAUAUCGGAACGUGCCCAGUCGUGGGGGAUAACGUAGCGAAAGCUACGCUAAUACCGCAUACGAUCUAUGGAUGAAAGCGGGGGAUCGCAAGACCUCGCGCGAUUGGAGCGGCCGAUAUCAGAUUAGGUAGUUGGUGAGGUAAAGGCUCACCAAGCCGACGAUCUGUAGCUGGUCUGAGAGGACGACCAGCCACACUGGGACUGAGACACGGCCCAGACUCCUACGGAGGCAGCAGUGGGGAAUUUUUGGGACAAUGGGCGCAAGCCUGAUCCAGCAAUGCCGCGUGCAGGAUGAAGGCCUCGGUUGUAACU